rnacentral:lncRNA from 1 species
GAGGAAAUGAGCAGGAAGUAAAAUACAGAAAAUUCUAUUUAAACAUAAUAACUUUUUUCACCAUGAGAGUUGUUAAGCAUGGAAGAGAUGGCCCAGAGAGGUUUGGGAGUCUCCGUUCCUGAGAACAGCUCACAACACAUCUGGAUAUGGUCCUGAAGAACCUGCUGUAGCUGCCUGUUUUGAGCAGGGGCUUUGGACUAGAUGAUCUCCAGAGAUGCCUUCCCACCUCAGCUCUUCUGUGAUUCUGUAAAGCUGAGAAGUAUAGCCAUAUACCCUGA